GCUGGUGCUACUAGCGAGGGGGUCACACCCGUUCCCAUUCCGAAUACGGAAGUUAAGCCCCUCAGCGCCGAUGGUACUUGCCUGGCAACGGGCUGGGAGAGUAGGCCAGUGCCAGCU
rnacentral:rRNA from 1 species